rnacentral:rRNA from 1 species
GAUGAACGCUGGCGGCGUGCCUAAUACACGCAAGUCGAGCGAACAGACGAGGAGCUUACUCCUCUGACGUUAGCGGCGGACGGGUGGGUAACACGUGGAUAACCUACCUAUAAGACUGGGAUAACUUCGGGAAACCGGAGCUAAUACCGGAUAACAUGUUGAACCGCAUGGUUCAACAGUGAAAGACGGUCUUGCUGUCACUUAUAGAUGGAUCCGCGUCGCAUUAGCUAGUUGGUAAGGUAACGGCUUACCAAGGCAACGAUGCGUAGCCGACCUGAGAGGGUGAUCGGCCACACUGGAACUGAGACACGGUCCAGACUCCUACGGGAGGCAGCAGUAGGGAAUCUUCCGCAAUGGGCGAAAGCCUGACGGAGCAACGCCGCGUGAGUGAAGAAGGUCUUCGGAUCGUAAAACUCUGUUAUUAGGGAAGAACAAAUGUGUAAGUAACUAUGCACGUCUUGACGGUACCUAAUCAGAAAGCCACGGCUAACUACGUG